UACGAAGGGUGCAAGCGUUACUCGGAAUUACUGGGCGUAAAGCGUGCGUAGGCGGUUUGUUAAGUCCGCUGUGAAAGCCCUGGGCUCAACCUGGGAAUUGCAGUGGAUACUGGCAAGCUAGAGUGCGGUAGAGGAUGGUGGAAUUCCCGGUGUAGCGGUGAAAUGCAUAGAGAUCGGGAGGAACACCCGUGGCGAAGGCGGCCAUCUGGACCAGCACUGACGCUGAGGCACGAAAGCGUGGGGAGCAAACAGG
rnacentral:rRNA from 1 species